rnacentral:lncRNA from 1 species
AAUUUUUUUAUAACAUAGUUAGUGUCCAUAUUUUCAGGACACGAUAAAUGACUUAAAUUUAGUUCACAGAAGGUUUUCUUUACUAAAAAAUUCCAGUUUUUAACACACUUAUGCUUAAUACUCAUACUAUCAGCCCACUUGUGAACUUUUGCAUUUAACCGAUUUGAGCUCAUGUUAUUUAAUCUACACCACAAACGAAUAAUACUUUUCCACUGCUUAUCAAAAAUAGGUGUUAUACCUAAGUCUCCAGUAACUGCAGCAUUUGGUGCAUAUUUUCCUACUCCGAGAAAAAAUCUACAAGCCCUAUUAUGUAUGGAGUUAAUACAAGAAUAUGUUUUUACACCCCAUAUACCUGCUCCAUAUUCUAUUAUAAGACAAACCAAACGUUCAUAUAAUUUUACAAAUACAUCGAAACAAACACCACCUAAAAGUUUACACUUGGCUAUUACCAACC